UUUCAAAUUGGUCUGUGGGCUUUAAUACAAUCGGCCCAUAAUAGUUCGUCCUCUACGCAACUCAUGAACUUAACUACGAAGUAGGCGGGGAAGCGAAUCUUGUGCAGGUUAGGGUUUUUGCCCUCUCGACUCCGUUUCAUCAGAAACCUUCUAGCACGUGUGUUGAUCGUGGAAGAAAAUUGCAGAAAAGCCAUGGAAUUUCCUUCUCUAACUCAAGCUUUAGUUUCGAAAUCAUUCGAAAAGAUCGCUGAUAUCUGUGAUGAACUCAUGCUUCAGGUUGCUGCUGAUGGCAUUAAUUUUCAAGACGAGUGGCCUUACACUAUCCAUCUUCUAGGCCACAUUUAUGUCAAUGAUAUUAACAGCGCACGGUUCCUUUGGAAAUCCAUACCGGUUGGAAUCAAAGAGAGCCAGCCGGAAGUGGUUGCAGCUUGGGGUAUUGGGCAGAAGCUCUGGACGCGAGACUAUGCUGGUGUUUAUGAGUCCAUUCGUGGCUUUCAAUGGAGUCAAGAAGCACAGGAUCUUGUUAAUGCAUUCUCAGAGCUUUACACAAAGAGGAUGUUUCAGCUAUUGGUGUCUGCUUACUCGACUAUAAGCGUCCAAGACACAGCUCUCUUUUUGGGAAUGAAUGAGGAGGAUGCCACAUAUUUGCAGGGACACGAAAGCAGGCUUCAUGUUUAACUGGAGAAUGAGUAGACCAUGUUUCAUAAUCUCAGAACCUUCUUGUUUACAAUGCAUAAAGAGAAAUGAGGCCCCAAGUCAGCCUAUCUGAAUUGAUGGAAGAACUCUCAAAAUGCCAUUAGUUGACUAUGUAAUACAGCAAGGUUGGAAUUUGGACCCUGCUUCUCAAAUGCUAACCGUGAAGAAACAGCCAAACGGGAUAGAGCAGAAACUAGAUCCCAGCAAACUACAGCGCUUGACGGAAUAUGUGUUCCACCUUGAACAUUAACUCUAUAAAUAUGACAAAAUAGUGAGCUGUGCCAGCUUCUGAUUUGGAAUCUUCAUUUGGAGGAAGUAAAUGUUUUGAAGAUAUUCAGACCUCGGUUGUAAUAUUUUGCUUUAACUCUGUUUUUUUUUUUUUUUUUUUGGGCCUUUUUUGGAGGCCCAGUGCCGAUCAUUUCAUUAAUUGAAUUAGCUGCAACUGCUAUUGUAUUUCUGAAAUUUGACCUUAAUAGUGGCACUACAAAAGCAAAGGAGCAAGGUGUUAAGAGGAA